GAUGAACGCUGGCGGGGUGCCUAAUACAUGCAAGUCGAGCGAACAGACGAGGAGCUUGCUCCUCUGACGUUAGCGGCGGACGGGUGAGUAACACGUGGAUAACCUACCUAUAAGACUGGGAUAACUUCGGGAAACCGGAGCUAAUACCGGAUAAUAUAUUGAACCGCAUGGUUCAAUAGUGAAAGACGGUUUUGCUGUCACUUAUAGAUGGAUCCGCGCCGCAUUAGCUAGUUGGUAAGGUAACGGCUUACCAAGGCAACGAUGCGUAGCCGACCGGAGAGGGUGAUCGGCCACACUGGAACUGAGACACGGUCCAGACUCCUACGGGAGGCAGCAGUAGGGAAUCUUCCGCAAUGGGCGAAAGCCUGACGGAGCAACGCCGCGUGAGUGAUGAAGGUCUUCGGAUCGUAAAACUCUGUUAUUAGGGAAGAACAAAUGUGUAAGUAACUAUGCACGUCUUGACGGUACCUAAUCAGAAAGCCACGGCUAACUACGUG
rnacentral:rRNA from 1 species